rnacentral:lncRNA from 1 species
GAGCUUGCUUCCACCUGUGCUCCAAGGAGGUGUUUCCUGCCUGCAGUGCUCCCUCACCCCAUCACUGCCAGCCCUUUAUGCUCCUCCCAUCCCUCUGUGACUCUCUUGCUUUCUGGAGGUGGUGGUACAGCAGCCCUGGUGGGUUCUGCCCCUGAUCUUCCUUCCCUUCCUUCCUCCUCGCAACUCAGUGUUUUCAGCAAAGUCUGCAACGGCUCCAAACUUGCUUUCUCUUUAUAGUGGAACAGAGAAGACGCAGAGCAAGGAAUAGACUUUUAUAAGAAAAGAUGAGCAUCUGGCUCCAGAGAAGACGAACGAAAAUAUGUUGUUCCCUCAUCCUUUUCCCAUGUGUAUUCCUGUUUGUAAAAGGGGUAACAGGACAGCAGAGCACCAUGGAUCAACAAGCUUCAGAUGUUAACUGCAACUCGUCCAAAGGUUGGUUUCUGGCAACAAUUACACUAAGUGUUCUAGGAGCCUCAGGCAUCAUCAUCGUAAUCUGGUGGAGUUAUGAACAGAAAAAGCAAGGUAAGAUAUUAGUGGAAUUCUCUUGCAUUUCAUAGUACCUUCCUACCAAACAAGAAUACAGUGAUCAGCCACUGUCAGCAAGGCCCAUGCCCUCAAGCAUCAAAGCCAUCCACGGCAGACAUGACAGAGGGCUGACAGCAGCCUCGUGCCCUUCUGGAACAUGAGCUGGAGGCCAAGUGCAAUACUCAGGGAACCCAUGACAGGAGGCAGAGGAUGGGCUCUGACUCUUGUGGAUGCAGCUGCAAAGGCUUGAAAGGAUUGUGGCCAACACCCAGCUCUCAGCCUUUUAAUUGUCACUGUAUUAAUUGUGAGGAAGUUGGAAAGGAAAGGGUUGUUAGACUACAGAAUCUUGCAGAAGCCUCAGACCAAAUACUGCUUUCACAGUGACCUUUUUGUAAAAAUCAGGAGUGGUGCUGAGAGCAGGGCAGGUGAUCCUGUCAGACGUAAUGUCACAGUUAUUUCUGGGAUGACACAGAACACAAGGUUUAAAAGAGAGAGAAGAGAGGUGGUGCUUGGUUUCACAGAAGAUUUUGUUCUACCACCUUUCACUGUCUCUUACAUCAGAAAAGAUGAGCAUCUGGCUCCAGAGAAGACGAACGAAAAUAUGUUGUUCCCUCAUCCUUUUCCCAUGUGUAUUCCUGUUUGUAACAGGUAAGAAAGCCUCUUUCAAAUUGUUCGCUGACAUUUUCCAAGCUGAAGAGACUUAGAAUUUGUUACUUCCCUUGGGGCUCAAAACAGGAAGGAUCUGCCUGAUGCUUUCCUCACGUGCUUCCUUAGGUGAAGUGGUGGGAUGUGGAGGGAUGGGAUUUUGGGCUUGCGAGCAGGUCCUCUUGCCAGCUCUCACCUUUCCUACUCCUGAGCUUUCCAUGGGGACAUGAACAUCAGCAGGAGGGUCACACUGAAAGGAACAAUCCUGGCUGUGAUCCAGGCACACAGCUUGACUUCUGAGUUCUCAGAGAGCUCCUUUCCCCAAACUGCAUUUAAAGAAG